rnacentral:rRNA from 1 species
GACGAACGCUGGCGGCGUGCCUAAUACAUGCAAGUCGAACGGAGUGGCGCACGGGUGAGUAAUGUAUAGCUAAUCUGCCCUUCACUAGAGGACAACAGUUGGAAACGGCUGCUAAUACUCUAUAGUGUAGGAUGAGGCUAUAUUGUAUCAGCUAGUUGGUGUGGUAUUGGCUCACCAAGGCUAUGACGCAUAACUGGUUUGAGAAGAUGCUCAGUCACACUGGAACUGAGACACGGUCCAGACUCCUACGGGAGGCAGCAGUAGGGAAUAUUGCUCAAUGGGAGAAACCCUGAAGCAGCAACGCCGCGUGGAGGAUUACACUUUUCGGAGCGUAAACUCCUUUUGUUAGGGAAGCGGUACCUAACGAAUAAGCACCGGCUAACUCCGUGCCAGCAGCCGCGGUAAUUC